rnacentral:rRNA from 1 species
UACGGGGGGAGCAAGCGUUGUUCGGAUUUACUGGGCGUAAAGGGCGCGUAGGCGGUCAGCACAAGUCAGUUGUGAAAUCUCUGGGCUUAACUCGGAAAGGUCAACUGAUACUGUGCGACUAGAGUGCAGAAGGGGCAACUGGAAUUCUCGGUGUAGCGGUGAAAUGCGUAGAUAUCAAGAGGAACACCUGAGGUGAAGACGGGUUGCUGGGCUGACACUGACGCUGAGGCGCGAAAGCUAGGGUAGCAAACAGG